UACGAGGGGUGCAAGCGUUGAUCGGAAUUACUGGGCGUAAAGCGUGCGUAGGCGGUUUGUUAAGUCCGUUGUGAAAGCCCUGGGCUCAACCUGGGAAUUGCAGUGGAUACUGGCGAGCUAGAGUGCGGUAGAGGAUGGUGGAAUUCCCGGUGUAGCGGUGAAAUGCGUAGAGAUCGGGAGGAACACCCGUGGCGAAGGCGGCCAUCUGGACCAGCACUGACGCUGAGGCACGAAAGCGUGGGGAGCAAACAGG
rnacentral:rRNA from 1 species